GUCCACGCCGUAAACGAUGAGUGCUAGAUGCUGUGGGUAUUGACCCCCGCGGUGUCGCAGCCAACGCGUUAAGCACUCCGCCUGGGGAGUACGGCCGCAAGGCUAAAACUCAAAGGAAUUGACGGGGGCCCCGCACAAGCGGUGGAGCAUGUGGUUCAAUUCGACGCAACGCGCAGAACCUUACCUGGGUUAAAUCCACCAGAACCUUGCAGAGAUGUAGGGGUGCCCUUCGGGGAACUGGUGAGAAGGUGCUGCAUGGCUGUCGU
rnacentral:rRNA from 1 species